GCAGCCCUGUGUAGGGGUCCUGCUAGUCUUUUUAUGGGGCUUCCCGCCUCAAAAGAAAAAAAUGUUAUGAAGCCACAAGAUAGAGAAAAUGUGGGAAACUAGGAAAGAUGCCAACACGUUCCUGGAGGAUGGAAAGCUGAUGAAAGAGUGGCGACUGACUCACCGGAGAGGGGGAAGCUACGCCGUCAGUGUCAGCAGAGAAGGGCGCUGAGGAGAAGCAAGAAGCAGCCUGAGGGCUCCAGAAGGGCAGCAUGCUGAGUCAGGCUGUGGGUUCAGUUCUGUGUAGGUUCAGUUAGAGCCCCAGGCACCUCCUGACCUUGAAGAGAAGUGAUAACCAGACUUGGCCCUUCUAACAAUCCCACCUUCAUUCUUUAGAAAUUGAACCUGGAGAGGCCCAGGCCACGAGGACAUCAUACACUGCAGAUCAGAGACACAGAUAAAAUACACACACAGAGAUCAAUGACAUGUCUUUCCUUCCACUACCAUCCCCUGCCCGUCUUCUAGAUACUGACAGCCGGGGCCUAACCCCCUGCGGAAGAGGUGGCUUCUUCUCUGGGGAAACUGAACAGGAAAUGCGUACAGAUCCUGAUGUCUGAGGACCCCAUUAAGCUUUGGAAGUUGGAAGGGUACCUUUCUCAUGGGAAACUUUGUGACCUACUUUUAGGAGGAAAGAGGGAACUAGCUGAGAGAGCCCUGCAUCUGCUACUUCUCAGAGACAAGAAAAUGGAGUCAGGCAGCCGGGGCAUGCGCAGAGGAGAAAACUUUGCUCUCAAAUAACAACCGGAACCAAAGUUUCUCCUACCACUGGCCUCCCACGGAACCAAAGGGCCAGGGCACGACCGGAACCUGAAUGCCGGAACUCCUUCAGAAGCACGGAGCCCACGGUCCGGAAAGCUCCGUUGCUGAAGUCCCCUUUACCACAUCUUACCGUAAACCUGCGAAGUUCCAAAGCCCUUCUGUCGAAACCUGGCCUGCUUCCGUUUAUCAACUCUCCUCCCUUGAUUCAUAGAAGUUUGACUGAACCCAAGAUCGGAGAGACAGAUUUGAGCCGUGCCUCUUGUCUCCUUGCCGGUGGACCUCGAGGAAUGGUCCAGAGGCUGGAGGAGCAGUAAUGUUCACUGGACUUCCAAGGGACGUGUUUUCCUGAACAGCGCUAUGAUCCUCACGUGCUGUUCGGAGAAGAGUCUCUUGCUGUGGGUAGAGAUAAAGACUACAGAAGUAAUGCUUCCUUUCUCUUGGUAUCAAAAUCAGACCUUUAAUUGUCAGCAACUAUAAGGUUCAAAUAAUGGCUGGGCACAAGACAAUGAUUCCUAAAUGGAGGGAAGGCAGAACUUUUAUUCCUGACAGCUCCCGAAGAGAGAAGUUCCCCACACAGAACCACACAAGGGGCUGCACCAGGGGAAGGGUGACAGCAGAAACUGUUGGAGGUGGCUAAUGUGUAUGAGAAACAGUGUGGGGUUGGCCGAGUUUCACAGGCUUGUUGUGGACUGGGUAUUUUUCGUGAUUCUCCAAGUACAAGGAAGAAGGGGCCAUCCCUUGAAGUUUGCUACCAGGGCCUCUGGCAGUUGGAUGUCUGUGUUGUAACCUGGAAGUGUUGGAGCACCGUAAGGGAAAGCAGUCAGAGUGUGCGUUUAGCAGACUGCAAAAGGGAAUUGAAAGGUUUUUAGCCAUGAUCUCAAAACUGGGUCAAGACAGCACUUGUGAAAUAUUAUGUUAUCUUGAGGCACAGAGCGACCCAGUAACUUGCUAAGGUCACCACUAAUAAGUGGCCAAGGCAGGACUUAGCACCAGGCAGUCUGAUUCCAGAAUCCAUGUGAGAAAAGGCUAGAAAAGUCAGUGCAGGAUCUGUCAAGGAGGCACUUGGCCUUUUAUCUGCACACAGAUCUUUCUAAUCUCUUUUUCUGGGUUGUCCCUUCUUCCUCUAAGAUACACGUGGUCUGUGCUGGUCCUUUGGGGAGAGGCUGUGGAUGUGAUUUUUGCAGGCAAGAGGCAAAGAAUGUUUACUGAUUUGUCAGUAACCAACUUUUUUUUUUCCUGUUAUUGUUGAAGGGGGAGGUAAAUUAGGUUUGUUUAUUUAUUUAUUUUUAGAGGACGUGCUGGGGAUUGAACCCAUGACCUCAUCAUGUUAGGCAUGCACUCCACCACUUGAACUAUACCCUCCCCUUGUCAGUAGCCACCUUUUAAAAUUCCUGUUUAGAACAUUUGAAGUACAUACCUGGGCAAAGACGAAUAAUUUGGAGGAUUGGACCUCUCCUUCUGUUUUCUUUUGUGGGCCUUCUCCCCCUCUGUUUUUGAACUGAGAUUGGAUCCAUUGAAUGAAUGAUGACAAAUGCAAGCCUCUUUGUUUAACUUCCUCUGACUAUGCUA